rnacentral:rRNA from 1 species
CCUACGGGAGGCAGCAGUGGGGAAUAUUGGGCAAUGGGCGCAAGCCUGACCCAGCAACGCCGCGUGAAGGAAGAAGGCUUUCGGGUUGUAAACUUCUUUUCUGAGGGACGAAGAAAGGGACGGUACCUCAGGACUAAGCCACGGCUAACUACGUGCAAGCGGCCGCGGUAAUACGUAGGUGGCAAGCGUUAUCCGAAUUUAUUGGGUGUAAAGGGCGUGUAGGCGGGAAAGCAAGUCAGAUGUGAAAACUCAGGGCUCAACCCUGGGCCUGCAUUUGAAACUGUUUUUCUUGAGUGCUGGAGAGGCAAUCGGAAUUUCGGGUGUAGCGGUGAAAGGCGUAGAUAUACGGAGGAAAACCAGUGGCGAAGGCGGAUUGCUAGACCGUAACUGACGCUGAGGCGCGAAAGCGUGGGGAGCAAACAGGAUUAGAUACCCGGGUAGUC